rnacentral:rRNA from 1 species
AUACGUAGGGGGCGAGCGGUUAUCCGGAUUUAUUGGGCGUAAAGCGUGUGUAGGCGGUCUAUUAAGUCUAAGAUCAGAGUCCGAGGCUCAACCUCGGUUCGUCUUAGAUACUGGUAGACUUGAGUGUGGUAGAGGCAAGUGGAAUUUCUAGUGUAGCGGUUAAAUGCGUAGAUAUUAGAAGGAACACCAGUGGCGAAGGCGGCUUGCUGGGCCAUUACUGACGCUGAGACACGAAAGCGUGGGGAGC